UCCCCCUCCCCCCCCAUAUCAGUGCGCCGAGCUGAUAAAGGCGCCAUUUUGGACGGGCCGCGGGAGACGUGGUGCCGCUCAGGGCUCGCUCUGCCGUACGCUAGGCUUGGUGGGAAGGCCUCUCCUCGAGUCCGCGCUUUUUCGUCGCCGCCAUGUCAGGAGGUGGUGUGAUUCGUGGCCCGGCGGGGAACAACGACUGCCGCAUCUACGUGGGUAACCUACCUCCAGACAUCCGAACCAAGGACAUUGAGGACGUGUUUUACAAAUACGGCGCCAUCCGCGACAUCGACCUGAAGAACCGCCGCGGGGGACCGCCCUUCGCCUUCGUUGAGUUCGAGGACCCGCGAGACGCGGAAGAUGCGGUGUACGGGCGCGACGGCUACGAUUACGACGGCUACCGUCUGCGGGUAGAGUUCCCUCGAAGCGGCCGCGGGACCGGCCGAGGCGGCGGCGGGGGUGGAGGCGGCGGAGCUCCGAGAGGCCGCUAUGGCCCGCCAUCCAGGCGCUCUGAGAAUAGAGUGGUUGUCUCUGGACUGCCUCCGAGUGGAAGCUGGCAGGACUUAAAGGAUCACAUGCGUGAAGCAGGUGAUGUAUGUUAUGCUGAUGUUUACCGAGAUGGCACUGGUGUCGUGGAGUUUGUACGGAAAGAAGAUAUGACGUAUGCAGUUCGAAAACUGGAUAACACUAAGUUUAGAUCUCAUGAGGGAGAAACUGCCUACAUCCGGGUUAAAGUUGAUGGGCCCAGAAGUCCAAGUUAUGGAAGAUCUCGAUCUCGAAGCCGUAGUCGUAGCAGAAGCCGUAGCAGAAGCAACAGCAGGAGUCGCAGUUACUCCCCAAGGAGAAGCAGAGGAUCACCACGCUAUUCUCCCCGUCAUAGCAGAUCUCGCUCUCGUACAUAGUUGAUUGGUGACACUUUUUGUAGAAACAUGUUGUAUACAGUUUUCCUUUACUCAGUACAAUCUUUUCAUUUUUUUAAUUCAAACUGUUUUGUUCAGAAUGGGCUAAAGUGUUGAAUUGCAUUCUUAUGUAAUAUCCCCUUGCUCCUAACAUCUACAUUCCCCUCAUGUCUUGGUAAAUUGUAUUUUAAGUGAUGUCAUAGACAGGAUUGUUUAAAUUUAGUUAAUUUCCAUGCUCUUCAGACUGUGAUAUUGUGUAAAUGUCUAUUCUGCUCUGGUUUGUGUGAAAUGGGAUGUUGGGGGUGUUUGUGGUUAUCUUACUUGGGGAAGUUCUUAUGUUUAUCUUGCUUUUCAUGUGUCUUUCUGUAGACAUAUCUGAAGAGAUGGAUUAAGAAUGCUUUGGAUUAAGGAUUGUGGAGCACAUUUCAAUCAUUUUAGGAUUGUCAAAAGGAGGAUUGAGGAGGAUCAGAUCAAUAAUGGAGGCAAUGGUUUGGAUUGGAGAGGGCUCACUGGAUCCCAAUCCUUGGAGCUGGAUCAUUGGAUUCAAAUCAUAAUGUGGAUAGGAUAGGGAGGAUGAAUUACCAGGAUUCAUGGAGCGGGAUCAGAUUACCAGGAACAUAGGAGUGGAUUCCUUCCUGCCCCAACCAAACCGCAUUCGUGUGGAUUUUUUUUUCAUUCAACUUAAUUGGCUAUUCCAAAGAGUUUUUUUCCUAUUUUUGACGAUUGGAGCCCUUAAGAUGCACGAUGGAAUUGUGUUUUGCAUUUUUUGGUAAAAGGAGCAAAGCGAGGACCUGGAGAUAAACGCUGGAGCAAUCUCCUUGGAAGGAUUCAGCACGAGUAGAUGGAUAUUGUAGGGACCCUAUGAUUAGUUUUUCUAACCAAGAAAGCACUUAAAUCUCUUUAAGCAAGUACUUUGCAUAACAUCUGGUUGAAUAACCCAGCUUGCUGUUCAGCUCAUCCUACUGGAGACAAAGGUAAGACAUUUUGAUAAUACCUAGUUUGGGGGUCUAAAUUUUAAGAACUGAAGUUUGGAAUGAAUAAUUUUCUCUUGGAAUGGUACCCCCUCCCAGCUUUUUAGUAAUUUUGAAUGUUUAUAAAUCCGCCCAUCUUAAUUCUGGAGUUGAAUGUGAUAAAUUUUAAGAUCAGCUUUUUUUAGUUUUGUCUAUGAACAUGGUUUUGUAGGGUUGGUGCUGUUUUCAGCUUCCUGUGGUCGAGGUCAAUUCUUGGUGUUUGCCUUUUUGCUUUGUAUAUGAAACUUGUAGUUAAAUUACAAAUGAAAUAAAAUAUAUGUAUUUAGUAUUAAAAGGAGAGGAAAGUAUUAGACUGAGUUCUAUUGUAACAACCAGUUUUGGCUUAUUUCUAUAAUGAUUUGAAGCUAGGUUGACAAUCCACAAUUCUGAAAUCUUAAAAACCAUGAGUACCAGGGAUUGUUUUUGUUGAGCCAGUUGAAUGUAAAAUCUGGCCAGAAGGAUACCUUCAUUGUAUAAUUAGUGUCACUAAUGAGUUUGCCAGCAGAAAUACUAGUGCAUUCUUCAUUACAAAGGUGCAUAGACAUGUUGAAGGUGUUUAUAUAAGGUAUAUGGAUAAAAGCCUCAUGUAAAGUAUGAAAACCGUGAAUCUCAAAUACAUCACUCCUGGGUGGGCAAGGAGUUGAAUGUAGAAUUGUACUAGUAUUGUAGAGGAUUAACGCUGCUGUAUGUAAUUUUGGGAGUGAAUAAAAGGCUGUUACUUUGAAACCCUUA